rnacentral:rRNA from 1 species
GGAGGAAAAGAAACUAACAAGGAUUCCCCUAGUAACGGCGAGUGAAGCGGGAAGAGCUCAAAUUUGAAAUCUGGUGGCCUCAGGUCAUCCGAGUUGUAAUCUAUAGAAGUGUUUUCCGUGCUGGCUCAUGUACAAGUCCCUUGGAACAGGGCGUCAUAGAGGGUGAGAAUCCCGUCCUUGACAUGAACUACCAGUGCUCUGUGAUACAUUUUCAACGAGUCGAGUUGUUUGGGAAUGCAGCUCAAAAUGGGUGGUAAAUUCCAUCUAAAGCUAAAUAUUGGCGAGAGACCGAUAGCGAACAAGUACCGUGAGGGAAAGAUGAAAAGCACUUUGGAAAGAGAGUUAAACAGUAUGUGAAAUUGUUAAAAGGGAAACGAUUGAAGUCAGUCGUGCUCUUUGGAUUCAGCCGGUUCUGCCGGUGUACUUCCUUUGAGUGGGGUCAACAUCAGUUUUGAUCGCUGGAUAAAGGCUGGAGGAACGUAGCACCCUCGGGUGAACUUAUAGCCUCCUGUCACAUACAGUGGUUGGGACUGAGGAACGCAGCACGCCUUUAUGGCCGGGAUUCGUCCACGUACG